rnacentral:rRNA from 1 species
AUGAUGUGGUUUAAUUCGAUGCAACGCGAAAACCUUACCACCUUUGACAUGGCAGGAAUCCUGAAGAGAUUUGGGAGUGCUCGAAGGAGAACCUGCACACAGGUGCUGCAUGGCUGUCGUCAGCUCGUGUCGUGAGAUGUUGGGUUAAGUCCCGCAACGAGCGCAACCCUUGCCAUUAGUUGCUACGAAAGGGCACUCUAAUGGGACUGCCGGUGACAAACCGGAGGAAGGUGGGGAUGACGUCAAGUCCUCAUGGCCCUUAUAGGUGGGGCUACACACGUCAUACAAUGGCCGGUACAGAGGGUAGCCAACCCGCGAGGGGGAGCCAAUCCCACAAAGCCGGUCGUAGUCCGGAUCGCAGUCUGCAACUCGACUGCGUGAAGUCGGAAUCGCUAGUAAUCGCGGAUCAGCAUGUCGCGGUGAAUACGUUCCCGGGUCUU